rnacentral:rRNA from 1 species
UACGGGGGGAGCAAGCGUUGUUCGGAUUUACUGGGCGUAAAGGGCGCGUAGGCGGCGCAGCAAGUCACUUGUGAAAUCUCCGGGCUUAACCCGGAGCGGCCAAGUGAUACUGUCGUGCUAGAGUGCGGAAGGGGCUACUGGAAUUCUCGGUGUAGCGGUGAAAUGCGUAGAUAUCGAGAGGAACACCUGCGGCGAAGGCGGGUAGCUGGGCCGACACUGACGCUGAGGCGCGAAAGCCAGGGGAGCGAACGGG